UCGUCAGAGAUAUCAGAAUCAGAAGCCACUUCAUGCAGACGCUGUCUCAUUUUAAUCGUUAGUUGUUAAAGUUGUUUCCUUCUUCCCUCGAUUCACAGGAUUGGACAAGUGAGAAGAAGAAAACCUAAAACCUGAAAGGACUUCACUCCAUCUGAUUUCCGGUUAAUCAAGCAGCACUCGCCAUCAAGACGAUGUACGAUCCGCGAGUAGGUGGCUAAAAUGAAGUUGUCUCCCAGCCGCCAGAUGACGCGUGUGUCGCCGAGAGGACGAAAUGUCGAAAUUUUCGCCAUUUUGUUCCGAAACGCCAAGUGAAAAGGUAUUCCAAAUUCGUUACGGAAUUGCGGUGUCGAUCUAAAUUUUCAGCAUUGAAAUUUAAGUGACAAUCUGGCAUAUAAUUUCCACUUGGCCAAAUAAUCGAUCACGUGGACUGAAACUGCUUUCCAUUUUGCCGAAAUGUCGUCCGUUGUCAGCUGUACCUGUUCGGAUGUACGUCUCAUCUCACGCAGAAACACUACAGAGUUGGUGUUCAGAUUGGAGAUCCCGUUGCUUAACUGUAGCAGAAUGUGACAACUCAACAAAUUCUGAGCUCCAUGGCUGGCAUCAUUCCGUGGUUUUGUUGCAGUCAGCUGGUUAAAGGCGUGAUAAAGUCAAGUUUAGCUGCAGCUGCUGCAUGCAGUUUUUCGAGCUGGUGUUAUCCUGAAGUGUCAUUGCAGGAAGACUUUUUGAAAUGGACUUGGUGAUACUUAAACUAUGCCUGUGCAGUUCAAUGUGCAGUGGUUUUUCCGCCUAUUUCCAGUUGAGAGAUGUGAUUAUGCAGCUGAUACAGGAUUGAAGAAAAAGAACUGAAGAAGCUGUGCUGGUAUUCUCCUGAAAUUGCUGUGCCACAGGAGUUGCAGAUAGUGUUUGUUCCGCAUUGAAGUUUAUGUAAAGAGACUGGAGAUGAUCAGCCACUUCUGCCUUUUAAUUAUGUAAAACUUCGAAGUUAUAAGAAAUAUACAAGUCUAGUGCUAAA